CCGAGAAGCUGCUGUCGUCGUCAAACUCGAAGUCGUCCUCCACAGCGAAGCUCUUCAGCAGCCGGCUGACGGCUCGGCCCUGGCCCUAGGAUGGCCUUGGCAUUGCGGGCCGACAGGGCGAUGGACAGGGCCCCAUUCUUCCGCUGCUCAGGAGAGGACGGAAGACAGCAGUGAGGACCGGAACGGCUUCUCUCGCCAGCGUGGGCUGUGACUCGGGGUUGAGUGGGAAGGCGGGGAGGCCGGACUCUCCCCCUUUGGAUGCCCACUGACCACCCUGAUGCCCACUUGACCCCCUGGCCUACCCUCAGUACUGGCUGCAACAUGGCGCUCUUGCGUGUGGCUCUCUUGAGGCGCUCACUGGCAAGUUUGCUGCCUUCCUCUCGGCAAGCAAAGGUCCGCGUGGGGCCGAAAAGGGCAUCCCUGCUGGCGGCAGCCCCAGGCUCCGCACAAAGGCCACUUUUCGCCUUGCCCUUGGCUUUCUUCUUGCCCGGUGCACCUGGGGGCCUCCGCCCUGGUGCCCGCUCCAGCUUGGGGCCCCCCUUGCUUUUCACUGUCCGUCUUUUGAUCUUAACCUCGCCCUCAGGACUGGAUAGGCGGCAGGCCCCUGUGGGAGGGAGGGAAGUGGUCACUGGGACUCUGGUAUACAGGGUACACGGUAAACCGGUCUGCUCUGGUUUCUUGGUUACCUAGCAAACCCUGCCUCUCCUUUUUCUUCUUGGCCUUUUGGUUAGCUUCCAUCUUGACCACGGAGGAAGGUGAGGGUCCCAGCAAUGCCACACCGGCCCCCGGGUGCAGCACCAACCCAGGCUCCCUGGGAGCCGCCUCCGUCCCCAGGAGUGCCUGGCAAUCCUCACUGUCAUAGCCGCUGCCUGGGGGACAGCAGAGAGAGCUUGGUAACUGAUGUUGAACCUGGCUAUUUGGGGUGGACCUAGGCAGUACGGCCAAUGAAGACAUCAUCGUCCUCUGGGCUGCUCCGGGGUGGGGGCAGGAACCUGGGGUAUUUGGCAGGAGAAGGGAAUGGGGUUUUCUUUCCUGCAGUCCCACCUUGCAGAACUGAGCUCCUCUCUGGGGAGUCCCUCCCUCUCUGUGUCCGCUGGCCCAGCCGGCCCCUUGCUUCCUGCCCCCAAAGCAGCGUUUCCCUCUGCCUUCUCUCAGCCUCCGGCUCUGGAGGAGGAGCUGAGAGGGAGGAAGCAUCUAUUUGUCCAGGCUGUUUCUGGACUAGUCUGCUGGGGAAGGAAGAGAUACCCCACCAACUCGCCGGAUGCUGAGGGCAGAGGUGGGGGAGGCUAUUUUUAAUGUGUUUCCAGGGUGUGUCCAGAGCUUCUUGCUGCCCUGAACGGAGAACUACUGAGCCCUGGCCUGGAGACAAAGGCCUCUUCCCCAGCCUUUCUCAACAAAAAGUUGUCCCUGGACCUGUCCAUCUCACAAACUCCACCUGGUUCCUGUGGUAGCCAUGACCCCUGUGCACCCCUCCUUCAGCCCCAGGUGACCACGGCUCAGGCUUCAGUCACUCACACCACCAACUUGCCUGCCUCAUGUGCCACAGCCACUGCUGGCUGGGCUGGGAAACUGGGCAUCUCCCUGCCACUGUCCCCAUCGGGGUGUGGCCGCUGUGCCGCCCCUGACACCGUGACACUCUUGCCUCUAGAGAGCUUCUGCCGGAUGCGCCCACCUGGGGCAGCCUCUUUGCGCUGGAAGGCACCGAGGCCAGCGGGCAGCCCUUUGCUCUUGACUCUCGGCUUCAGCUGGGCCACCUUGUGGGCCACCGAGGACGCCAGCGCGGCCUGGCCAGCACUCUUCUUGCACCGGACCUUCUCCUGUGAAAGGAGGUGAGAGCUGCAUGCUCGGCACGGCCCCAGCCGCAGCCCGACCUGCGUGUGGGUUUCCCGUCACCGUGGGGCCCAGAAAACAGCAUCCCCGGGGACCUGCCCUGAAAAGGGCCCUGAGGACGUCUGGCCUGGGACAGGGGGCUGCCUACCGGGGCAAACACCACGCCCAUCUACCUCCCCCCUCCCCCCCAUUCAACUCCGGCUGGUAGAACAGGGGAAGCUGAGAUCCGGAGAGCUCCUGUAUAUCAUGGGUAUAUGCUGUGCGCUUUUGUGAAAAGAAAGAAGAGCUCCUCAGGCAGGGUGACCAGCCAGCGUCCCGCCCAUGCCUACAGCCCGUAGGAGGCAGAGAGGGAGGACAGCUCCAAGUGUGGGAACAGCAUGAUCCACAGAGCAAGUUCUAGACAAUCAAGGAGUAUGGAGACAGAAACUGCCAUCACCACCACCAGCAGCAAACCACCCCCAAAACAAGCAAGCGCGCGGGGGGGGGGGGAAAAAAACAAAAAACAACAAAAAAACCCCAAAACAGCCUUCUGAUGUUGGAGGCAACAGGACCGGUAAUCAGAGGCCCGGGACCUUGGAGAGUGAGAAAAGUGGGAGGGCCCAGGAUUCCGCCCGGUGCCGUGGACGUGUCGAGAGUCAGGCACUCUGCGGGUUCCUAUCCUCAGUACACUGCCAUGCGUUUUACUUCUACUGGAGUGUGUACGUGGCAGGGGAUGGCUCAGGGGACCAGUGACAAGCCACACAGGGGAAGCUGUUGCCAGUGAGGUGGAGCAACCGCCCCCCUGGCUACUACAUCUGCAUAUCUGUGGCAUCACUUCCUUUAAUCAAGGUAUCAGAGGCUCACGAACCCUGGCAGGUUCACCGAGCUCAAUGCCUCAUUCCUGACGCCGCAUGUAUGGUGCCCACCUGAGGUGAGGGCGGAGGUCUGGAGACUCACCGAGGAGGCCGACUGCAGGCCUGGGUAGGCACUCUUUUCCAGUUUGCUUCUCUUCCUCGUGGGCUCGUCACCGCGUAGCUCGGCACACAGCAGACUUAGGCUAGCACGCACAGCCCUAGGGGGAAGGCAGUGGUGGGCACAAGGCCAGCCCAGCAGCCGGGCCUGGGUAGCAUCCUUCACACAGUCCCCGGGCGUGUCCCGAGGGGCAGCCCAUGUGCCGGACACGGUCUCCCGUCUCACCUGCUAAAAGCAGGCACUGGGGGUGUCCAGCCAGUACUGAGCCUCCCGGCCAGUCCCUCCUGCCUACUGACUACCACCAGCUCCUGGUGGUCCUUGGGGCAAGGCUGUGCUGGAGAUAAGACGUCUUUCCCUUCCUCCACUCAUCUUUCCUCCCUGCUGGGUUGGAAUGCCCUUGGGGUGUCCAAUCAUGAGCCAGUGACCUAAGGCCCAGGCAGAGGGAUUUGGGAGCUGGUGAAGACAUUGGGGGUCCCUGGGAUACACCCCAGUACUUGUGAGUCAGGGUUGUGUAGUAACUAUCUAACCUCAGUGUUUGGGGUCUGUGGCCUCACUCUCCACCUGGAAUAUGGGAGAGUAACAUAGGCUCCUGUCUGUGGAGCUGGGGUAGGGAAUCACUCAAGUCUGGGUUUGGCCCUCAGGAUAUGGCCAAGUAGAGGCACACACCUGUAGUCCCAGUGCUUAGAGGCUGAAGCAAGAGAGACUAUCAGAGCCAGGCAGGAAGACCUGGUCAGACCUUGGCUUUGAAAAAAGGCGGGGAGGGAAAAGGAUAUUGGGAUACAAAUAUGGUCCACUUCCGGCAGGGCCAGGGUGAGGACAAUAGGCAGGAGUAGUGGACUCCUAAUCCUAGACCUCAGAGGCUUGCUGGGGGGCCGGUCCUCGGUUUAGGAUCCUGUAAAGGAGGCUCACACAUCAGUGUCCAUUUUCCAGAUGGGACCAGGAAACUGGUUCAAUUUUCUUGGGGGUGUCGGCCAGUACUGAGCUUCCUAGUCGGUCCUUUCUGGCUGCUGAAGCUCAUGGUGGCUUCGGGGCCCUCCCCGAAACUCCUCCAGCUUUAAUUUCCCCAUGUCCCAUGGUGAGCUAUCUCCUCUAGGCUGAUAGUUAGGUCAGGGGUCAAGAUAGUCAAGCAGCUAGGAGGAAACAGAGGGAUCCUGCGUGAUCCCUCUAUAUGGCCUGAGUCUCAUGUGGGCAGGCUUAUGUCUCCCAGACAUCCCAGUGUGCUCAGUGUAUGAUUCCGUUUCCUUCCCAGUACCCCACUUCCCACGAGGAAACCAACACUGCUUGUCUGCCUGUGGCUGGGCAGAGGCUGGGCUAUGGCCUCCCACCUGCCAACCCCUUAGCCCUCACAGUGCAGAAGGAAACUGGGUGCUCAGGAAAAUGGGGACUGAGGGCCUGGCCCAGCCCUGACCUCAUACGGCCAGACACCACUCUCCACUUCCUGUCCGGCAAGGAGGCUGGACCUGUGAAGGCAGAGGCGACUAGGCAGGAAGCCCCUGCCGCUCCGGGAGCCUCCUUGACCCCCGUUUCCUGCCGCCUUUCCUGGCCUCACACUUCCUGCACGGAGGAGGCCUAGCCCUGGGGCCCAGGGCCUGCUACCUCAAUGGGUUCUAGAACAGGGCUUGAGAGCCCAGACAGAGGCUGAAGGUGGGGAGACUGCCAGGAAACCCACUCUUCGGAAAGAGAGGAACCUGGCUGUGGAUCCUUCCCAGCCUCAGGCUGCUUGCUGACUUCUCUGGGUCACGGGAGAACUUGGCUGCAAGGUGGCCACAGGUUAAGCUUACUUACUGGAAUUUAGGCUAGAGUCUAGCAUGGGCAAUGUGGCUAGAGCUGGCCAGGGACAGAGAGGACAAGGUUUGGGGGUACAUUAUUGCCCUCGAGCAGGCUCCCCAAUGUCCUCCACUGGACCUCAGCCUCCAGGGGCCUAUCCUGCUCAGCAGUCCCCAGGCUACAGACUGUUCUCAAAGGAAGGCCCUUGAGGUCCCUGCUGGGUGACACCUGGGUAGGACAACGGGACAUCUCAGUGAGGCCCCCCAGCCAUAUGGUGAAUCCCCUCCAUUGCCUGCAGCCCACACAAACUCCCCCGCCCAUAACCUUCUCUGCAUUUGCUAAUGUUUUGUGACAUAAAGCCCUGAGAUUAA